GUCGUGCGCAACUACACCAUCGAAGCUCAACGAAGAAGAGCUGUGGCAGAUCUGAUUGGCUGAUCUUGGAUCAUGGAAACAUUCAUGAUGUUUACAACUUCUUGAAGACUGAAAAGACCAAGUGUUCUUCGACAUCACUUCUUUGGAACAUUUUCAAAUCACGCUGGGAUAACAAGGGCCAUACAUUUUUGCACAAAUUUUUGGGGUCCUUGCCAGCUCUUGUGCUCGCUGUCAUGAAAGUAAAUGCCAGAAAAGUGAUGAAGCAGUAGUUGAGCUUUCCAGGACAGGAUGGCAUCUCAGGG